rnacentral:rRNA from 1 species
ACGCUCGACACCUACGGGAGGUAGCAGUAGGGAAUCUUCCACAAUGGGCGCAAGCCUGAUGGAGCAACACCGCGUGAGUGAAGAAGGGUUUCGGCUCGUAAAGCUCUGUUGUUGGAGAAGAACGUGCGUGAGAGUAACUGUUCACGCAGUGACGGUAUCCAACCAGAAAGUCACGGCUAACUACGUGCCAGCAGCCGCGGUAAUCUGAGCGGGCUGGCAAGGC